GGGGCUGAUUCUGGAUUCGACGGGGAUUUGCGAAACCCAAGGUGCAUGCCGAGGGGCGGUUGGCCUCGUAAAAAGCCGCAAAAAAUAGUCGCAAACGACGAAAACUACGCUUUAGCAGCUUAAUAACCUGCUUAGAGCCCUCUCUCCCUAGCCUCCGCUCUUAGGACGGGGAUCAAGAGAGGUCAAACCCAAAAGAGAUCGCGUGGAAGCCCUGCCUGGGGUUGAAGCGUUAAAACUUAAUCAGGCUAGUUUGUUAGUGGCGUGUCCGUCCGCAGCUGGCAAGCGAAUGUAAAGACUGACUAAGCAUGUAGUACCGAGGAUGUAGGAAUUUCGGACGCGGGUUCAACUCCCGCCAGCUCCACCA
rnacentral:tmRNA from 1 species